rnacentral:rRNA from 2 species
AGCUUGCUGGGGUGGAUGAGUGGCGAACGGGUGAGUAACACGUGAGUAACCUUCCCUUGACUCUGGGAUAAGCCUGGGAAACCGGGUCUAAUACCGGAUACGACCUCUUGCCGCAUGGUGGGGGGUGGAAAGAUUUAUCGGUCUUGGAUGGACUCGCGGCCUAUCAGCUGGUUGGUGGGGUAAUGGCCCACCAAGGCGACGACGGGUAGCCGGCCUGAGAGGGUGACCGGCCACACUGGGACUGAGACACGGCCCAGACUCCUACGGGAGGCAGCAGUGGGGAAUAUUGCACAAUGGGCGCAAGCCUGAUGCAGCGACGCCGCGUGAGGGAUGACGGCCUUCGGGUUGUAAACCUCUUUCAGUAGGGAAGAAGCGAAAGUGACGGUACCUGCAGAAGAAGCGCCGGCUAACUACGUGCCAGCAGCCGCGGUAAUACGUAGGGCGCGAGCGUUAUCCGGAAUUAUUGGGCGUAAAGAGCUCGUAGGCGGUUUGUCGCGUCUGCCGUGAAAGUCCGGGGCUUAACCCCGGAUCUGCGGUGGGUACGGGCAGACUGGAGUGCAGUAGGGGAGACUGGAAUUCCUGGUGUAGCGGUGAAAUGCGCAGAUAUCAGGAGGAACACCGAUGGCGAAGGCAGGUCUCUGGGCUGUUACUGACGCUGAGGAGCGAAAGCAUGGGGAGCGAACAGGAUUAGAUACCCUGGUAGUCCAUG